rnacentral:rRNA from 1 species
CCUACGGGAGGCAGCAGUGGGGAAUAUUGCACAAUGGGCGCAAGCCUGAUGCAGCGACGCCGCGUGAGGGAUGACGGCCUUCGGGUUGUAAACCUCUUUCGCCAGGGACGCGGUACCUGGAGAAGAAGGACCGGCCAACUACGUGCCAGCAGCCGCGGUAAUACGUAGGGUCCGAGCGUUGUCCGGAAUUACUGGGCGUAAAGAGCUCGUAGGUGGUUUGUCGCGUUGUUCGUGAAAACUCACAACUCAAUUGUGGGCGUGCGGGCGAUACGGGCAGACUGGAGUACUGCAGGGGAGACUGGAAUUCCUGGUGUAGCGGUGGAAUGCGCAGAUAUCAGGAGGAACACCGGUGGCGAAGGCGGGUCUCUGGGCAGUACUGACGCUGAGGAGCGAAAGCGUGGGGAGCGAACAGGAUUAGAUACCCUUGUAGUC